rnacentral:lncRNA from 1 species
GUUUACACAUUUUUAACGUUGCUUACUGUUGUUAAUUUUGUAAUCUGUACUUUCGAAACUGAAAAUGGAACUGAAAUGCAACAAGCAAUGGCUAAAGUACCUCGGUUCCUCAAGUAUUUAUCAAUGAGCAGCACAUUGGUGGCUGUGAUGACACUAUGGCUGCACAUCAAAGUGGAAAAUUGCAAGCAUUAUUUUAAAAUGUAAAAUCACUUGAUCUUUGUUAACCUACUUUUAUAUUUUGUCACUGACUGUAUGCAGUAUUAUAAUUUUGUACAAAGACAGAGCUUUAUACACUUUUAGUCUUUUAAACUGUUUGACUGAAUUCCUUAAAUAGUAAGAUGUUGUCUUAACUGUUCACAGAAUCUUUAUCUAAAAUAAAUAACAUGCUUUAGCUAGCUUUAUAUAAAAUUAUCCGGUCUGUAUAUGAAAUUACUUGAAUGAUAUACGAGUAGCCCUUAAUUUGCAUUGAUUUUAAAAUGAAAUUCUUCAAUUAUAAUGUUUUGUUAAGAGAGGAUUUUCCUUACUGGAAAACAAGUAAUGCUGGAAGUCAAGUAAUGCUGCUAGACAAAAUUACAGUUACAUUCUGUAAAACUGAACUCAGUCGAGUGCUGUGCAGAAAAAAAGCAUUAUGGCAUCCAUGAAGCCUUAUCAUGAUAGAAAGACUUGCAACAAAUUACCUUGCUUUUUCUCAUCAAAGGGUAACAAUUCUUAAUCUUGUACAUAUUCAGAGAAUUAAUUAUAGAAGAUGGUAAUAAUACUAAAAACACAUUUACAACAUAUUGCAUUAUUAUAAGAUUUGAAUGAACCAUUAUGUUACUCAUAGUAUAUAGGUGCUGAAAAUGCAUGCCAUUUAUUUCCUGGAAAAUUAUAUUAUAAAAACUCUUUCAGUUUAAAACAAUUCUAGGAAAGUGUAACUUAAGCAUUCCCAGUGUAAAUUAAGUGUUGUUAGUAAUAUAUUUUGUAAUAAAUUAUUUCCAUUUUUAAUGUGUUUCAUCAAAUUGAAAAUAUGAAGUGGUGAAUGAAGCUGUAUUGCAGAUUUGAUUUAAUGCUAUUUUUAAAGUUGAAAAAAAUAAAACUAUUAAUAAACCAAAGCACUUAAGCAGCAUAAUUAAUUUGCAAUAAGAUGAAAAUUGCCAUUAUACCUAAAAAAAAAGACACCAGAACAACUCGAUAGAGUAAAUCUUAUGGGAGGAAAAAUAUCAUGGAGGUUACUGUGUUUUAUAAGAUUGCCUAUGGGCUGUUGAUAUGAGUCUACUUUUCUUCUCAUUAUGCAUGCUAUUUUUCCUAGUAUCUGAUAACUGUCUUAGAAUAUUUAAAGUGAAUGUAAAAAGAAUUUUAAAAAGAUAAAAUUAACAUAUUAUAGUUAUAUGCAGAAAAAAAAUUAAUUGGAGAAUCACAUAUUUCAUAUGAUUACUGGUGCUAAAAGUGAAGUGCUGAAAAGUGGUAUUUAAAAAUCCAUUUAUAAUAAAAAAAUCCAAUGUGCAAGCAACAGUAAACCAUCUAAUUAUAAUUCCAGUAAUUUUUAUUUCAUAAAUGCCACUCUGCAAGCUACUUAAUAUAUGUUAAGUGGAUAAUAAGAAGUAAAUAACCUUGUAAGAAUCAUUCAUUAAACAGCAGAAGACUUGUAUUUUGUGACAUUUCCCUUCCUAACUGUUGAUGUUUUAUAUUUCCUCUUUCAUAAUAUGAGCUUUCCAAUUUUUUCUUGUGGUUAUCUACUAGAGUUGUCUCAACAUUUCAGUGCUGAUAAGACAUAAACAGUAUAGUGUCAAUACACAAAGUUUUACAUGUCAUCAUAAAAAUUAUUACUAAUUUUUUCUAGAAAUUAAAACUUUUUUUUUGGAAAUUUUUAUAAUAAACAGUUUAUUUGAAAUAAGGGAACAUUUAUUGAAAUAUAUCUUUAGAUUGGUUGCAGUAUUAAAUAUAUUUAUAAUUUUUGAAAUGUUUUUAUUUUUGUAUUUUCUUUAUAUUAAGUUUUUAGUAUUUGAAAUUUCCUAUCUGUUACUGAAUGACAAUUGCAAUAAUUUUAUGUACGUAUGUAAAUUGGAGGAUACCUGUAUUUACAACAAUUUGUGCUUGAAUCUCUGUCUUGCUUUAAAUUAGUACAUUUCUUUCCAAUAAAUAAAUUUUUGAAAGUG